ACUUAGGUCCCGUCCCGCCCUGGAAGACGGUCUAAAAUCAUGAAUCCAGCAAGCCCUUCCCAGCAGACACCCCCAUCCGGGCCGCUUGUUCUGCAGCAAUGUCCUGAGGAUGGCAUUAUUCCUGCAAUUUGACUCUGAAGUUAGGAUUAUACAGGUCUCGCUAAGUUUCCCAGGCGGGGCUUGAACACUCCAAAACAGGACUUCCCAGUGCUGCUUCAGAAAGCAACAAGAACGACAGAGAAAAAAAUCCCACUGCGAUGGUGAGGCAACCCUGUACUUCCAACACCCUGGGAAGCUGAGGCAGGAGGAUCAGAAGUUUGAGCCAGUCUGGAAGCAGAAGAAGCCAGGCUCUGUAAUGUGAGGACAGCAGAACAGCAGCGUGACCAGGGAGCCAGAAGCAGAUGGCCCAGCUACCCUGCAGAUUUUUACUUAUUAGAGAAAAUGUGAUACUUGUCUGACUCACUUCAGUUAACACAAUGAUCUCCAGUUCCAUCCAUUUCUCCUGCAGGUUUACAGAACGCACAGGAGCAUCUGGAUGGAACAAAGGCCCACGGACCCAGGAGAUAAGCGACCCCUCGAAACUUCCUCCUGCUGAGCGCAUGAGAACCCCCUCCCAGCCCCAAAGAAGUGACAGAAUGCCCAGAUGCGAACGCCUGGCUGCCAGACGAGCUGAGGAUGGCCGGAAGUAACACAGCAAGCCUGGAAAUCUCACGUCUCUCUGUGCUCCACACCCUGCUUCCAUGCUCUGAGAGGCCGUUGCCCACCGUACAUGGCUAGCCAAUGGCAAGGAAGUGAACUGGACUGCGUGAACCCGAUUGGCUGCCAACAGAACCAUUGCCUGCGCCCCAGCAACCCUCAGCAACUGAAACAGCAGCUCUGGGCAGACUGAGUUUGAGGACAGCCUUGGCUAUAUCAAAAGUUCCGGGUUGGCCUGGACUGCAUAAGAGAAGAAACUUCGUGAGCUUUGUGAGUGACCUUUUGUUGGUGGCAGAGAGUGUCCCGAACUGGAACUGGGGUGGGCCUCCUCUGACCUCAGACGCAUUUGCCUUUGUCUGACUUACCUUGAAAUUUGCCUCCCUUUGCCCCAAAUAAAGAAGUGUCAUCUUUAAACACCACGAAGCAAUCUAGAUCCAAGAAAGGGCAAUUUCCUCCGCCUUCCUCUGUUACUUUUCAUACACCUAACACCUUCUCUCCACCAUAAAAUCUAGGCAGAGCUGGGCAUGUUAACACACACCUGCAAUCCCAGUAAUCUUGAAGGCUAAGG